UUAUACGUUGCAUUUUGUGUAAUAUACAAAGGAACAAUAGACCCUUGUGGCCCGAUCCUUCUGCAGACUCUCUGUGCAUAGCAGUAGUGCACGGGGCUGCCCCUUUUUACAUAGAAAUAUGUACAUGUAAAACAUACCAUAGCAUUCCAUUAGGAAAUGUAGACUGCAAACUAUCUAUAAAAUGCUUAGUUCUCAUCAGUGAGUCUUGAAAGCAGAUAGAGGCAGCAAGAGCAAAGAAGCACAGAAGCUGCAAAGCAAAGUAGAUCAAAUGGUGAAUGUAUAACAGCCUUCUUGCUCUUGUCAAACAAACCUAUGAGAAGAAGCAUCACGAUAACAUGACCGAUUUUGGUUUUUAGCCCGCUCACAGUAGUUAUUUCCAACCAUCUCGGUCGUUCCUUUAGAGUGAACAUGCCGAAGAGAUUUGAUCUAUAUGGAGUUGUCUCCCCUGACAUUGAUUUUCCUUUGUCAAGAUUGCUGAUGAAGAGCUCAUAGAGACCCAUACCGAAGACUAACAUCACUGUUCCUAACAGGUAUAUAUCUAUAGCUUCGACAAGAUGCACAAUAACGUUAGCUCGGCUUGCAAAGUACCCUUGGAAUGAUGCAAUCACACAUGAACAACCCUUUAUAAAACAAAGAAAAGAUCCAAUCAAGGAACCCCAAACUGCAAGAAUCGCGAAAAACCGACAGCUAUAAAUCACCUUUUCUAGGGUUUUCUCUACCCCUUCAAAUUUUUCUUCAGGAAUAUGAAGCACAGUUGAAUUAGAAUCCGAUUGAAUAACUGGUGAUGAUGGAGCAUGAACUGUAGAAUGACUACAACGAGCAGUAGAUAAAGCAACAACUGGAGAACACUUAAAGAGAGGUGCCCAUUUCACAAAUGAAGCUGAUUUUGAGUUCUUCAAAAACAAGAUUGGAGCUUUAACAUUUGUAGAUAAACCUCUAGUGCAAGGUUUCAUGGUGGAAGAACAAAA
rnacentral:misc_RNA from 1 species